UCUAGACCAAAAAAAGAACAUAGCAAAAUAACAAAGUAAUAAUUUUGUUAUUCAAGUUCAAUCCAACAUGGUUGAGCAUAAUUUUCAUCAACAAAGUCAUAGUUUUGUUAAGUUGGUGAUAUUUCUAUGCUUGUUAUUUCUAUCUGCUAAUAUUUCAGUUGAAGCGCGAAUUCGUCAUUAUGAAUGGGAGGUUAAAUAUGAAUACAAAUCACCAGAUUGUUUCAAGAAACUUUCUAUUAGUAUCAAUGGUAAAACUCCAGGACCUACUAUUGUUGCUCAACAAGGUGACACUAUUGUUGUUGAAGUACAAAAAUAGUUUGUUAACUGAAAAUCUUGCUAUUCAUUGGCAUGGAAUUAGACAGAUUGGAACACCAUGGGCUGAUGGAACAGAAGGUGUGACACAAUGUCCUAUUGUGCCAGGGGAUACUUUUGUAUACAAAUUUGUUGUUGAUAGGGCUGGAACAUAUUUGUACCAUGCUCAUUAUGGUAUGCAAAGACAAGCAGGACUUCAAGGAAUGAUCAGAGUAUCAUUACCUGAUGGAGUUUUAGAGCCAUUUUCAUAUGAUCAUGAUAAGAGUAUUCUUCUCACUGAUUGGUACCACAAGAGCACUUAUGAACAAGCAACUGGUCUUGCUUCUUUGCCUUUUUCUUGGGUUGGAGAACCACAGUCAAUCUUGAUUCAUGGAAGAGGAAGAUUCAAUUGUUCUAUUCCAAGCAUAGAUCCUACUCUUUGUAAUGCUACAAAUCCUCAAUGUACACCUUAUUCAAUGACUGUUGUUUCUGGCAAGACUUAUAGGCUUAGAAUUGGCAGCUUGACUGCUCUUUCUGCUCUAAGUUUUGAAAUUGAGGGGCAUAACAUGACGGUUGUUGAGGCAGAUGGUCACUAUGUGGAGCCAUUUGUGGUAAAAAAUCUUUUCAUUUAUUCUGGAGAAACAUACUCAGUCCUAAUUAAAGCUGAUCAGGACCCUACAAGAAAUUAUUGGGCUAGUACAAAAGUUGUCAGCAGGAAUAAUACUACUCCAAAUGGUUUGGGUAUUUUCAAUUAUUACCCAAACCAUCCUAGGAGAUAUCCUCCUACUGUACCACCCCCGGGGCCACGUUGGGAUGACGUUACCCCCAGGAUGGCACAGAGUGUUGCGAUCAAGUCCCACAAAGAUUUCAUCCAUGCCCCUCCUCUGACAUCGGACAGGGUCAUUGUCAUGCUCAACACACAAAACAGGGUGAACGGGUAUGUACGUUGGUCAGUCAACAAUGUCUCGUUCAACAUGCCUCAUACGCCUUACCUGAUCGCCCUUAAGCACAACUUAUUACAUACUUUUGAGCAAACCUCUCCUCCAGACAACUAUGACCACAAGAAUUAUGACAUCUUCAAUAUCGCGCCCAAUGUGAAUGCUACAACUAGCAACUCAAUUUAUCGAUUGAAGUUUAACACAACAGUGGACAUCAUAUUGCAAAAUGCCAACACAAUGAAUCUAAACAACAGUGAGACACAUCCUUGGCAUUUACAUGGACAUGACUUUUGGGUCAUGGGCUAUGGUAAUGGAAAGUUCAACCAAUCUAUUGACCCAAAGAAUUACAACUUUGUGAACCCAAUAAUGAAAAACACAAUCCCAGUCCAUCCUUAUGGAUGGACCGCAUUGCGAUUUCGGGCCGAUAAUCCAGGAGUUUGGGCCUUCCAUUGCCAUAUUGAGUCACAUUUCUUCAUGGGAAUGGGAGUUGUAUUUGAAGAAGGAAUUGAGAAAGUUGGCAAAUUGCCUACUUCUAUCAUGGGCUGUGGAGAAAGUAAAAGGUUCCUCAGGCCUUAAAUUCUUUAACAUUAUUGUCCAAAAGAUUACUUUAGUUUGAUAUUGUUUGGAUUCUUUUGAUAGUUGCCAAAAAUAAAAAAAAAUGUGUUCCUUUUUGUUUUAAAACAUCUACACUGUAAAAAAAAAAACAAUACAAUUCAUUCUUUUGCUGCUA